rnacentral:tRNA from 1 species
AAGAAAAGUUAUGAAAUACAGAGAUUGCUAAUUAUCUGACCCUAAAGUUAAAAUCUUUAGUUUUCUUA